AGCCUUACCUAGCGGAGGAGAUACCGUGAUCAAGAAGAUGGUUUUCCCAGGGCAAGACUCACCCAUUGCAAUCCAGAUGUGCUGGCCCGUGCAAUUUCCUCAAAUGUGGGAAACGUGACUGGAUAAUUCAUGGUAGUGGGAGACUGCAUUCAUGCUCUCCUG